rnacentral:rRNA from 1 species
AUUGAACGCUGGCGGCAUGCUUUACACAUGCAAGUCGAACGGUAACAGCACUUCGGUGGCUGACGAGUGGCGAACGGGUGAGUAAUACAUCGGAACGUGCCUAGUAGUGGGGGAUAACUACUCGAAAGAGUAGCUACUACCGCAUGAGAUCUAAGGAUGCAAGCAGGGGACCUUCGGGCCUUGCGCUACUAGAGCGGCUGAUGGCAGCUUAGGUAGUUGGUGGGAUAAAAGCUUACCAAGCCGACGAUCUGUAGCUGGUCUGAGAGGACGACCAGCCACACUGGGACUGAGACACGGCCCAGACUCCUACGGGAGGCAGCAGUGGGGAAUGUUGGACAAGGGGGGCAAGCCUGAUCCAGCAAUGCCGCGUGCAGGAUGAAGGCCUUAGGGUGGGAAACUGAUUUUGUACGGAACGAAAAGCCCUCUUCUAAUACAGGAGGGUCAUGACGGUACCGUAAGAAGAAGCACCGGCUAACUACGUG